UGGGGCCCCGCCUGUGCGGGCCCGAAAUCCAGCGGCGGUUCCGUCUGGCUUCGAGCNCAGUAAAUCUCUCGCUCUGGAGGCCUUGCGGCGCCCGCCCAAACACCAUCAUAUUGACCUCGGAUCAGGUAGGGAUACCCGCUGAACUUAAGCAUAUCAAUAAGCGGAGGAAAAGAAACCUACAGGGAUUGCCUCAGUAACGGCGAGUGAAGCGGCAACAGCUCAAAUUUGAAAUCUGGCUCCUCCGGGGUCCGAGUUGUAAUUUGUAGAGGAUGCUUCGGGUGCGGCCCGGUCUAAGUUCCUUGGAACAGGACGUCACAGAGGGUGAGAAUCCCGUACGUGACCGGACGCCAACCCCAUGUGAAGCUCCUUCGACGAGUCGAGUUGUUUGGGAAUGCAGCUCUAAAUGGGUGGUAAAUUUCAUCUAAAGCUAAAUACUGGCCAGAGACCGAUAGCGCACAAGUAGAGUGAUCGAAAGAUGAAAAGCACUUUGGAAAGAGAGUUAAACAGUACGUGAAAUUGUUGAAAGGGAAGCGCUCGCGACCAGACUUGCCUGCGGCCGAUCAGCCGGUGUUCUCACCGGUGCACUCGGCCGUGGUCAGGCCAGCAUCGGUCUGGGCGGUGGGACAAAGGCCCCGGGAAUGUGGCCCCUCCGGGGGUGUUAUAGCCCGGGGCGCAAUGCCGCCAGCCCGGACCGAGGACCGCGCUUCGGCUA
rnacentral:rRNA from 1 species